GUGUCAGCCGCCGCGGUAAUACGUAGGCAGCGAGCGUUGUUCGGAGUUACUGGGCGUAAAGGGUGUGUAGGCGGUCCUUUAAGUUUGGUGUGAAAUCUCCCGGCUCAACUGGGAGGGUGCGCCGGAUACUGAGGGGCUGGAGUGCGGGAGAGGAGAGUGGAAUUCCUGGUGUAGCGGUGAAAUGCGUAGAUAUCAGGAGGAACACCGGCGGUGUAAACGGCUCUCUGGACCGCAACUGACGCUGAGACACGAAAGCGUGGGGAGCAAACAGGAUUAGAAACCCCGGUAGUCC
rnacentral:rRNA from 1 species